CCUACGGGAGGCAGCAGUGGGGAAUAUUGGACAAUGGGCGCAAGCCUGAUCCAGCAAUGCCGCGUGAGUGAUGAAGGCCUUAGGGUCGUAAAGCUCUUUUACCAGGGAUGAUAAUGACAGUACCUGGAGAAUAAGCUCCGGCUAACUCCGUGCCAGCAGCCGCGGUAAUACGGAGGGAGCUAGCGUUGUUCGGAAUUACUGGGCGUAAAGCGUACGUAGGCGGUUAUUCAAGUCAGAGGUGAAAGCCCGGGGCUCAACCCCGGAACGGCCUUUGAAACUAGGUAGCUAGAAUCUUGGAGAGGUCAGUGGAAUUCCGAGUGUAGAGGUGAAAUUCGUAGAUAUUCGGAAGAACACCAGUGGCGAAGGCGACUGACUGGACAAGUAUUGACGCUGAGGUACGAAAGCGUGGGGAGCAAACAGGAUUAGAUACCCUGGUAGUCCACGCCGUAAACGAUGAUAACUAGCUGUUCGGGCACUUGGUGCUUGAGUGGCGCAGCUAACGCAUUAAGUUAUCCGCCUGGGGAGUACGGUCGCAAGAUUAAAACUUAGAAAGUAUAGACGNGNGAGAGCGACGAGCACAGGAGGUAG
rnacentral:rRNA from 1 species